rnacentral:lncRNA from 1 species
UUUAGAUCAACUCAACUUUUACAAAUUCAGGAGAUGGCAAUAGUGGUUCAAAAUAUUGAAAUUUCGAAGUCGGAAAAUAUUACAGUAGCUCAUUAAAUCAUAAACGCUCUACGAUCUAACAAUUUCCAACUCUAAAAUUUUAGUACGUACACUAGAAUUAAUAUUGUAGGAAUUGAUUUUGUUCCAUUUGUUUCUAGAAUUCUAGGUGAUUUGCUUGCAAUAGUAAUGGACUAAUGGAUCGGAAUAGUGGGGCAACAAAUUAACCCUAUCUAGUUCCAUAGUCAUUUUCAACCUUUAACUACAAACCAAAAAUGUUAAACUCAUGGGUGGGCUCACUUUUUGGAGGACAUCGUGGAUGUGUAUGUAUUACAUGAAGUAAUGAAGGGCAAGUUUUCUUUCACGGGGUUAUGGGGUUAGCUAUCUUACCAAAUAGAAAGAACAAGCAUGUAACCUUCGUCUUUUGUGCUGUUUAAUUCAGCAAACGAAAUUCAUUUCCGGUCUUGUCAACAUUUCUAGUUCGCAUACUAAAUGAGCUGCAAAUGAAAAUGAAUAUUGAGAGUAUUGUGAAGUAGACUAUGACAAUAUGACAUGACCAAAUGAAGAAAGAGAAAUAUCCUCAUUGUUGGAUUUAAACCUAAGAACUUGGAUACGCUAGCGGCUGGUGAAUUUGACACUCAGUCGUGUUUCACUGUCGUUGGAUUUUAAUAGGUUAGAGUAAAGAAUAAUAAGGUUGUUAGUAUGAAUGAAUUAGUUUACCUUGUUAUGUUUCACAUUAUCUAAAUCCAACGCAGUUGAACAUAAUUCAAUAUAGAAUAUGUUGACCACCAGACCAUAUCACUCCAGAAACCAAAGAUAAUGAAAGAAAUCAAAGAUAAUGAACUAGCUGAAGCAAAGUAGCAAACCGAUACUGAAUUCAAUUUCAAAGGAUGGAGCCAUGGUCAAAUUGAGAGGGCCCAGAUUCUCUUUCGGCUCAUUGAGCAUGGGACUACAAUACUGAUCCACCACCAUGCGAUACAGAAAGGAAUUGGGCUUGGAAACGUUACAAAGGAUACAAUUGCGCCUACAUUUUUUCUCUCUUUCAAAAUGGACAAGUGCGAUUAUAAAAAGGUGCAGUUGUUUCCACCAUGUUAAAUGAUUAGUUUACCCCAUAUCUUAUUUUUUACCUUUAAUGUUCCAAUUCUGCCCUUAAAAUUUUGAGAAAAUCUGGUUUUUAUUUUUUUUCUUUUAUUUUCCUCAAUCUGAUAAAAUCUAAAAAUAUAUAUAAAGAUCUCAUCAAUAUAUUUGACAGAGACCUUCAUUCUUCUCAAACCACAUCCUAUAUAAGUAUACAUGCUCUCCUCGAUCUCUUUCUUGAGUUCCUUCUUUACGAUUAUAUAUAUAUAUAUAUANNNNNNNNNNNNNNNNNNNNNNNNNNNNNNNNNNNNNNNNNNNNNNNNNNNNNNNNNNNNNNNNNNNNNNNNNNNNNNNNNNNNNNNNNNNNNNNNNNNNNNNNNNNNNNNNNNNNNNNNNNNNNNNNNNNNNNNNUGAUAUAUAUAUAUAUAUAUAUAUAUAUAUAUAUAUGAAAGACUACAUAUGAAGCCAUAAAUAAAAUAAGAAUAAGAACGAACAAUCCCACCGCACUGUAUAACCACCAUGUUGAAGAUUGAAGUGAUUCUCAAAUCUGAUUUGAAAUAUGUAGAUAAUUGUUUUUUAUUUCUGAUAUAAACAUAUAGAGAAUUAUUGUUGUUUGAAUUUUAUAGAUUUUAGUUUAAUAUUAUAUGUUCACAAAAUUCUUGAUUGUGGGGUUAAUAUUAGAAUAUUUAGUUUAAAAUUGAAAUGUGAGGUGAACAAAGUAUUGGUGGGAUGGCAAUAGCCGCACCCUUAUAAAAUUCGUGUAUGCACACAAAUUAUUUACGAUUUAUAAGAAGAUGUUGAGUUAAAUAAAUAAUUGUCUAAUAUUGCUAGUUAUAGAACCUAAUUAUAGGACCGAUAUGAUUAUUACAGCUAGAUGAAUAAUAUCAAUGAACUAGAAAUGUGCCCCCGCGUUGCUGGGGUACAUUUGAUUGAUCAGUGUACCAAUCAUAUCUAUUAACUAACAAAAUCGUACCAGUAAUAAGCAAAAUUUCAAGAAUUUGACCAUCUUAACUUUAACUACCUGGUCUUAUGGGCUUUGACUUUCUUGUCUGAGUUCUAUCCGUUCUAUGAAUGGUUAUCAGUCACAUUGUUUGAAUCAGUAGACAUCUGCCUUUCAUGAUCAAAUCCUCCCCCAUCCUCUCUAAGUGUAAUAUCACACUUUCAUCUAAUUAAUCCCCUUUAAUUUGUCGGGCCAAGACUACCCUCAGUUCCAUAUUUAACUAAUCCAUAUGUAAAAUAACAAAUUUGAUUAGCAUAAUUCAUAUCUAAUUUUUUUACUGCAUUUAAGAAACCAAUAAUAAAAAUAAAAAUAAAAAUAAAAACAAAUCAAACUGAAGGGUACUAUAGAAGUUAAUAUCUACCAUAUCCAACUCUUGCUCCUGCAUUCCCAGUAGAUUUGCUGAGUUCAUGUCCUCCUAUUGCAUUGAAGAUAAUAUUAAUAUCAGAGAAGAAUUCAGGCACUGACAUCACUACACUAUAUGAAACUUUAUGUCCUCAAUACCAAAAUAGUCAGCAUUAUAAAUUCAAAUUCCAAUUCCUAUUGCACACAACAAAUUCAGACUUAGACUGAAAAUUUGAUUAAUUCGAGUCUACCUGAAAUUCACUCUCUGCGGCGAAGCGACUUCAAUACUGGAGCGAACGAAGAAAACACCGUCGAGAGGGAAAGUGAUGACGUUGUUGAGGACCUUCCGGUCAACAUCAAUGAGAUUACGAUGAGAAGAAAAGAGAAGAAGAUCGACACACGCAUAAGAUCAGGAGNNNNNNNNNNNNNNNNNNNNAGGAAAAAAAAGAGAAGGUCUCAAGAUCUCUGGAAGGUCCUUGUACUGAAAAAGAAAAAGAAAAAAAAGGGAAAAGAGAUGGUCCUUGUACUGAUCAAUACGCCUCCUCAAUUUCUGGUUAUUGAGAUGAUUAUCUUUGAUAUCAACAGCCUCAUCUUGGCCGAGCUCAAAGUCAUCAACAAUGUCAGGAGAGUCGAUGGGGUCCACGAUAUAUCAUCCUCUAUAGUACCAAUCAUGGUCAAUUUGAGAGAGGACUUGAAAGGGAGAGAGGAGAGCAAAACGGCGUCGUCGGUGAGUUUGGAAGGGAGGAGUUUGGGGUAGAGAAGCUUUUGGCAUUUGGGGAGGACGGUGGUGAGUUGGCAGAUUCGGCGCUUAAGCUCGCCUAGAGUGUCGUCGCCGCAUAAUCUAACCGUGUACUCCUUCCCGCUCCACUUGAUGCUCCCCUCCUCCUGCUCUUCUCCCAUCUUUGAUGAUGAGCUUCCUGCUGCCAUUCCUACCCACUAACCUACUUUUUCCAGAUCGUUCCUAUUCUGGAAGGUUCAAGAGACGGCGAGCCAAGAUCAAAGGGCAAAGUCGGAAUAACAUAGGAAAAAGUAGGGGCAAAACACAGAAAACACUGCGACGAAAUGCAGCUCGAGCUCAAAACUGUUUUACUGUAGAUGAACAGUAAAUCAAUGUAGAUGAACAGUGAUCAACAAAUAGAUAUAUAGUAAAUAGUGUCGAGAUUGGGGUCUCAAAAUAAGAAAUAAGCCCUGAUUAUAAAACUAGGGGUUAGUCUUUUUCCGAAAUACUACUAGCUAGCUUGCGAAAUCCUUGAAAAUGAAAUGUUUAAACAUUUGACUAAUCAAAUAGCAAAACAUUCUUCUUCUUUUUUGGGUCAAUUGAUACUUCAUUCAACAAGCCCAAGGCUAGUAACUUACAGAUAAAUGACCAAAAGGAAGAAAGGCCCAAAUAAACAAGAAUACUAAGUCAUGCCAAACUAGAAGAACUGGGAGAAAUAGCAAACAGGAGAAGAAAAAAAACUGCAGAAAACAGCAAAAAACCAAACGAAGAAAACAAAGCUCCCAGAGAUGGAGACGCCGAUGAAAACUAAAAUAGCAAACCAUUCUUUAAGCUAAACAUGACUAGGUCGUCCUGCAAGUUAAUGUGCUUCACUUUUGUCUAUGAGUCUACCUAACAUAGCUUUCUGUCUCCAUCUUCAUUCAUGCAUGCGCCCUUAAUGGGAUGCCACCAGGGUGUUUGGAUUUAGGAAACCCUAAGCUCUCUCUCUCUCUCUCUCUCUCUCUCUCUCUCUCUUUUUCUCACAGAGUGGCGGAGCUACCCUUUGCACAAAAAGGGUGCCGUGUUUUCUGAAAACAUGUGUAAUUGAUCUGUGUUUUUGAUAUGUGUUGAUGGAAUAUAGAAGUAUAUAUUGAAGGUUUGGCCCCCCUUAUAUUUUGAUGGCACGUAUUAGAGUGUAAAAAUGUGAUUAGUUUCCUUCCAUACAUGGCAUCUCAUUCAUUCAUUGCAUGAUGCUUAAUGUAAAUUUUAAUAUUUUUGAUUUUUUCCUUUCUAUUCAAUUUUUGUAAAUUAUUUAUGAAGUUGAACAAAGAAAAAGGAAAAAGAGUUUGCGAUCAUAAGUUUAAUUUGGAUAUUUUUACUAUGCAAAAAACAAUUAUCCUUUGUUUUUUAUUUCUUAGUUCACAUCGACUUCGGACCGGAUAUAUUACAUUUGUUUCUCAUAUAUUUUAUAUCUUGGCCCUCUGUUAUACACAAUCUUAGCUCCACCAUUGUUUGGUAAUUCGUGUAUUCAGAUUGAAAAUAUAUAUUUUUUGCUUUUUAUUUCUUAACUCACUAUCGAGUGCGGACCAAAUAUAUUAUAUUUGUUUCUCACAUACUUUAUAUCUUGACCUCUCUUUAUACACAAUCCUAGCUUCGGCCACUGCUCUCUCUCUCUCUCUAAACACGUAUAUAUAUUAUAUAAUUACUGACUUAAUGACGUUUUGAGUAGGAGUGAUCUAAUCUCAUGUCUUGAUCAAAGAUAAAUAGUUACUUAAUGUGAACCCUUUGAACGAGUCCCUGAAACCGAGUGGGGAUGAAGAACGUACAGUGCCACAAAGGGGGCAAGUUAAUCUCUGUCUCUUUCCAAUCUGGACAUCAUCAUUACUCUUUCGUACCCUUUUUUGAUUAAUUUGAAUCCCAUGCCAGCAACCAGCAAACAACAACGACCUCCCCGCCAAUGCCAUAUAAAUUAGGAUUUGAGCACGAGCUCGUAGAAAAAGGAAGAACUACGUACAACAACCCCACACGGCUUGCAUCUUUAACAUGAUCAAGAGUAUGCAAAGGGUCCAGAUCAGGGAGCUAGCUAGCCAUUCUUACAUGACUUUGUUUUACUCGACCUCACUUUCUACACAAUCACUCGGCAGGUUCUUGGAAAAUUAUGCUGCAAGAUGGCUCUGUUAUUGGGUCUCUUUGACAGGAACGGAAAGUUUUGGAAAGAAAUGGCCACAAGUUUUCUAGAUAGAUAUGAAUAUGAUAGGCUUGCUGAUUUGUACAAUAUUCACCUAAAGUAAGUAUAUAGCUAGGCAUAUAUAUGGUGGGAAGAAAACUGGGUGUUUUGUUGGCUUUAAAUGGUAACGUGCUCGAUAGCUAGUCAACAUAUAUACAUCAUAACCUUGAGAUACGCAUCGCUUGAUGAUGAUCUUAGAAAAGACAACGAAAUUGUUGGAGUCUUUUGAUUGUUAGUAUAUAUGGUAGGUAUUUUUCACUGCCCCAAUUAACGUACGGUGUUCGAAAUCUCGCUACACCCUAAUACAGCGGAAGGAAGGCUUGAAAGCGGCCAGAUAGGCUUCUAGACAUUUUCUAGGCGGAUUUGUGUUUCUUAAUAUUUAAUUUUAUUUUUAAAACUUCUUUUAUUUAUAUAAUUAAAACAGUUUGGCUGUGAGGGCAGGUUGGAGAUGAUGGUGGGUGUUGCUUGCGGUGAGGCAAGCAAAUCAAAGAAGACACGAAUCAAAGGGAAACAAAGUAUGCAAGAGGGUCGAAGCCUGAGAUCGGAGACAAGCUCUGAGAAAAUCACCCAAGGUAGGCGGGGAUGGCUGCCACCGACAAUCAAGGAGAAAAACUAACUCCCCCUUUCCUCAAUCCAAAGAUUUAGAUCAAAAUUGAUGAACAUCUAGUUUGGUGGUUCUAUUCUAGUUUGAACUUUGAACAUCUAAUUUCUAUUCGUUUUUAACAACUUAUUAUAAGCCGGACUUUGUUGAAAAUUGCUUUCAUACUUUCAUAGUGAUCAAUCAACCUUGUCUCUCACUUGUAGGGAGUGUAAACGAGUGGAGCCGAAUUAAAUACUUCAAGUGAUUUAACAUCUAAUGUGUUCGAGUUAUGUUUAGUACACACUAGUAUUUCAGUUUCAUGCAAUAAUGAGCAUGAAAUGUGCCAUAUAUGAACUUGGUCUAUACUUAUACGUAACGUUUGAAAUUGAUGUGUUCAUUGAAAGACUGUUGCAAAAAAUUUCUACUAUUGAGCAUGUAUAUGUAUAUAUUCGUGUCCAUAUAUAUGCCAAGUAACAAAGGCUUAGCAAGAAGAAAACGUGUUGUGCUACCGUAUAUAUUUACAACCACAUAGACAUAGCCAUAUCUAAUAGUAGCCGUGUAAAGAGGGUCUCUAAGAUUAGGGCCAAAAGCUUCUCAUACCCCGUGAAAGGGGCUUAGGUUUUUUGCUAGCAUGUUAUAAUUGGAAAAAGGGGUACAAAUAAUGUCCAAAAAAGGAAAAGGAAGUCCGGACACGGAUAAGAGUGCCCGGUAUAUACAUUUUGGAGGCCACAUAUAAUCUUUAAUUGUAAAGUGUAAACUGUUACGAUACUAUAAUAUAAUAUUAUGUACUUCAUCUAGCCAAUAAUGUAUGGAAGGUAUAUAAAAUAUGAGGCUCAUCUCGCUAGGUAGCUUGAGGGGGCUUAUUUAAGCUGUGAGUUGUAACCUUAAGAGUUAUCUUUGGGCAUAUACAACUUCAAAAAAUUCUAAUUUUAGUUAUAUACAGCCGGUCUUGUAUUUGACUAUUUGAGAAAUGAUACGUGUGUAUAUAUAUAUAUAGGUAUCAUGUAUGUAUUUAUAACUUUCAUUUUCUGAGUGGUUUGUUUCAAUAUUGUAGAAUAAUUUCAAGUGACGUAUAUUAUAAGAUUUUGAUUUAAAAAAUGCAAGUACAUAUUUAUAUAGGGAUUUCAUUUCUAUAUAUAUAUAAUACAUGUGUACGAGUAUACUACAAUCGUCAUAUGCUUAGAUAGCAACUGAAAUAAGGACAUAGUAUCCACAUGCAUCAUGGGAAGAAAGGUCAGAAGGCAAAGAGCUAAAAACUAUAUCAAUAAUAGAUACAACUUGAUAAACGAAAAGUUCUAUAGUGGUUUAGAUCAUCGAAUCCCUCCCUCUUUAUAUGAAAUCUAACCGUCGUCAAUUUGUCACACUCUUUAUUUACUUACAUUGUCGACAUUUUUGUGUUAAAUGCCCUUUUUUUUUUAUCAAUCAAACACCUUAAAUGUUAUAAUGAGUCGAAUUCACCACCUUCUACAUAAUAAUAGAAGAUUAUAACAUUAGAUUAAAUGAUAUUGAGUUGUUACUUACCCGUUAAAUUUAUUAAUUGACAACAACAUGGUUAAGGUUUUUUUUUUUUUUUGUUUCUUUUCCUAAUCUAAUAGUGAUGGGAGAGAAUAAGAUGAGGUGUGAACUCGAUUUUUUAACGAACAUUUGCAAAGAAUAGUUUAUCACAAACAAAGGAAAGGUGAGGUGGAAUUGGAUGAUGCACCCCCUCUAGAUGAAGACAAACCCUAAAUUCAAGAACAGAUAAUAUAUAUAUUAUUACACUACCACAUAAUUUAGAGAGGUUAAGACAUGUUGUAGUGAUCUAGUUUUUUAUUAAUUUGAUCGAGUUGGAUGAAGAGUUGAAUAUAAUGAAUUUGUGUGAUUAACAAUUAAGAAGGAUGAUUUGUUAAUCUUAAUCAAAAAGUGCGGGGGGCGGCUUAGUUUUGGGUGUGCGAGUUCAUGACUCACAUGGCUUUUUCCUAUCUGCAUCAACGUAAGCAAGGCUUUUCACAUUACGCAACCACCCUACGUCAGCUGCGGCCUGCGUGUGAAGGGACGGAAAGUAUUCUUGAUCUUGUGCCUUUCAUCUGUGUGAGGAGGAAGAAAGUUUUCUCUUUUGACGAUUUCAAAUGUUGGGUGAUAUAUUCUGAGUGCUUCCUUCGUUGAAUUUGUUGUUGUCAUAGUUGAUAUCAUAUAAUACGAUAAUUCGUAAAGUUUAUAAAUCACAUGUAAACGAUUUAAGUUUAGUAUCAAGAAGAUACUGAUAAUAUUUAUUUUAUUUAGAUUGUUUUUGUUCAACAAGAUAGUGUUCGAAAUUUUGAAUCACUCUCCAAACAGUGUCAUCUGGCAAAAAGAACAAUAGUGGAUUGUAAAAAAAAAAAGAAAAAAAGUUACAUGUCUGUUUUGUUUGGUUAAUAAGGGUUUGAUGAUUGAUUUUUGAUUUAGAUCAUUUUUCGCAUAUAUAAGUAUAUGUUCGUAUAUGUUAUUUCCGAUACAUUUUUAUUAUUGACAAUAUAAACCUCUAUCGCUAAUGAAAAGAGGAAAAAGACUAGAAAUGGGAGUGUAGCUUUUAGCUUUCUCAUCUAUAUUUUCAUGAGAAAAUGAAAGUGUUAUUACAAAGUCAUAGAAUAGGCAACCCUCGUGGAUAAGAGCAAGAAUGUUCAAGGAUUCUUCCGCGUUCUUUCUCACUAGCCACUCAACUAGUUUUGUUUUUGAGAGAGGGGUUUUUUGAUUCCAUGGAAUUUUUCUUGUUGGAUUUGAAAUGGUCAGCAAUUGGACUUUUCUCUUCCUUUCCUUUGCUUUCAAUUCUAUAGUCCACACUACCCUACAAGUUCAUAAUCACCAGACGCUAACUGGUCCAGUUCAGAGAUUAAAGAAAGAACUAUUUGCUUAUCUUCAGUCAAAUCUGUCUCUUUUCCUUCUCCUUUCUCGCCAUUCCAUUAUAUAUACCCCCCCUCUCCCUUCCUCACACUUUCACCAAGAAAUUGAGUCACCAAGAACUAUUUGCUUAUCUACAUGCAUUCUUCUUUUUCUUCAUUAUAACCACAUCUCUCCCUCUCUUAGUCCCUAAGCUGAACCUACCCAGCAAUUCUCCAAUGGAGUUUUGGUGUUUCUGAUCACAACCCACCUUCACAUUCAACCAACUUCACUUGUUUGAAACACCCUUCGACUCAUUUUUGAACGUUCCAAAUUCUAGUUCAAGCAUUUUUCUUUUGCUUAAUUCUAAAUGGAGAAGAGGAAGAGUGUGAUGAGUAAUUGGGACCAAAAGAUUCUAGCAAGUGAGUUAACCCAAGGGAAGGAGCUGGCAGAGAAGCUCAUGAACCAAUUCCUCCACCCUUCAUCAUCCCAAGAAGAAAAUGAUCUGUUGCUUUCAAAGCUGCUAUCUACAUAUGAAAAGGCACUCUCUGUGCUCACAAGGGAUGUUGGUUCUGAAGGAGAGUCUAAGCAAAUCCAAGUGAUGGACUCACCUUGUUCAUUUGGGAAUAGUAGUAGCCCAUUGAGUGAGAUCUCUGACCAAGAUUGCAAGAGCAAGAAUGUCUUCAAGAAAAGGUACUUAAUUCUUUGAGUUGUUUUGUUAGUACUUAGUACUGUCUGAAAUUGAUUCUGAUUGUUUUGGAUUAUUGGGUUUUGCAGGAAAACAAUGCCCAAGAGGACUGAAGAAGUGAAGGUUUGCUCUGGAACAGGACAAGAUGGGUCUCUUGAUGAUGGCUAUAGUUGGAGAAAAUAUGGCCAAAAGGAUAUCCUUGGUGCUAAUUACCCAAGGUGAGAACUUUAAUCCUUCAAAAUCCAUAUUAUCAUGCUAUUAUAAUUGAAUAGACAAAACACAAAUCAUGAAAUUUGAGAGGUCUGAAUCUUUGAGGAUCCACCACCCAAGUGACCAAGUCCCAAUUGGAAAAGACCUUUUGCUUAUGGUUUAAUCAUUGGUCUCUAACCAAGCACAUGAACUUCUAGAAUACCUAAAUAUCUUUUCUCUAUUUUUAAUUUGUUUUAUAAUUGGCAUGAUGAAGUCAAAAUAGUACUUGAACUUAUCCCCAAAUUUUACCAAAGUUGGACUCUUUCUAUAAAAACCUUGCUUACAUGUUCAUGAAUGCAACGACUCACUUACACAACUAUUCAAUAGGUAAUGCCUUGUGAAAAUUUAUGUCAAUCUCUGCUUUAGUUUCACUAGUAUAGGGUCAAGUGUUUACCUUGGCUUGGCUGAUAGGCUUUAUUUACAUUCAAUUCUUACUUACAUGUAGUACCUUUAAGCAUUAAACUCUGUCAUACCGUUCUGGGUCCUCCUCAUGAAUAAUAAAAAAAAAAAAUUAGUACAAGGACCACAAAAUAGUGGCUCAACUUGGACCAUAUUGAUGUUGAAAUACCCUCCCUAAAGCUUCACUAUUGAUUCCUUUGGGUGUCUUUAAGAACAAGUCCAAAGAGAAGGAUGUAUCUCUGUCAAUGAACUUGGUCUGAAUUUGUUUUAGUUUUAUGUUCACAAUCAAUUCUUUGUUUUAGUUGUAUGUUCACAAUCAAUUCUUUGUUUUAGUUGUAUGUUCACAAUCAGUUCUUUCAUGUCCUACCAUGAUGUAUCUAACUUGUUUUGAUCUUGUAUUGCAGAGGCUACUAUAGAUGCACACAUAAAAACACACAAGGUUGCCCAGCCACAAAGCAAGUUCAAAAAUCAGAUGCAGACCCAACAAUCUUUGUGGUAACCUAUACAGGAGAACAUACAUGUCAUCUAGUCCCUCAGAUAAAAGGAAAGCAGAAUGUUUCUCUUAAACAAGAAUCCGGAACACCCAAACAGACACCAGAGAGAUCGUUCAGCUUCGGACUAAGAGUUAAAACUGAGAAUUUAAACACUAGGGAAGAUGUAAAGGAGAUAUUUCCACCAUUUUCCUUCCCUUCCACGCCAAUAGAGUCCGAAAACAAUGUGGUGGGAGAACAUGUUUUCGCUGCAAUGGCGAACGAUUUCAUGGGUGGUAGCUACGAUCCAACAUUCGGGUCUCCAACAACAUUCGAAUCAGACUACUUUGGAGCAGUGUCACCAUGCCACUUUGGACUAGUAGGCAAUGAUGUGCAGACUUCAGAAUCUGAUCUCUCUCAUGAGAUGCUGUCGGCUUCCAAUUCUGUGGCAAACUCACCAAUGGGGGAUUUUGGUUUCUCACUAGAGGAUUUGGAUUUUUACCCGUUUGAAAACAACCCAGAAUGUAUGUUUCCCCAGCAUUAACGUCCCUCACCAUUGAAGAGAAAAAGAAAAAGAAAAUUAGGAAGGAAAUGUUCAAACAAAGUGAGCUUUCCAGUUUUCACUGCCUAGCUAGGUGCUUAAAUACUUAGAAGUAAUGUGUAAGAUGUACUAUUUCUAAGUGUGUCUUUACCUUUUCUUUACUUCCAAGUCUCACUGAUUUAGAAAUUCUUUGGUCUAAGAGGACAUGUAGUGUUGAUUGUAAGAAAUAAAGCUGUCUUCUUGCUCUAUGUUACAUGAAACAAGUCCAUUCUGAAACUAUUGGCCAAUACACACACCUUGCAAACCUUAUGCUAUUUUACAACAUUUUAACAAGCAAAAAUGUAGUUCAUUUUAACAAGAAGAAAAACAAAGGACUGGCAGCAAACUCAGUAGAAUCAUUUAUUGGCUGGCUGCAGACUCACCCAACUUCUUUGAGCACUUAAGACUCUCAUUCAAUAUCAUCUUGGCAUCAAAUUUAUACUCAAAUCCAAUGUCUUUUAGCUUUGUGGAACCCAAAGAAAUCUCUCUCCCUAAAUCUUCUACAAAUCUGAAAUCAGACAAUGUAAGAAGAGAAUUUACUGUUAGCCAUUAUAGAGGUGAAGAUCUAGUGAAACAUAAAAUAAGGCUAAUAAGUGGUCAUAUUUUAAAUAUCAAUAAUAACCUAACUACAUGGUGCGCAGUUGAUACGUAAAUAGAUAAUUGAUGUAAUAAAAAAAAAAAAAACUUAAUUUUUCUUAACAAAUAAAACUUACCCUUCACCUAUGUUAAUUUCUGGAUGAUAGUUUUUCCAGUGAGAAGCUAUUUCUGCAGAUGACAGAUAUGCAGUAGCACAUUGAAAUUUGCCAGUGAUUGAGGGCUUCUCCAUACAUAAAAUGUGUGCCUCACAUACAUCUUUAAUGUGCACAAUUGGGACUUUACCAAGCAAUUCCUCCAAAAAUCUCAGAACCUGAUACCUUGCCUUAAUGUUUGUGACUUGUGAAGUGAGCACUCCCACGCUCUGGGUCAAGGUAGGGAGAAGGGUGUCCCCUCCCACAAGGCCACAAGUAAUGCUGACUACUUCAAGCUCAAGAUCACCAUUCUCAUUGAGCCUCAGCAAUUCUUUCUCCGAUAUGGUCUUUGAGUGUGUAUAUGCCUGCAAUGCAAUACAAUUAAAUGAAAAGAUGUUUUGGCUGAAUGAAUAAUUGUAUUCAACUGUGAGAUAUAUAUACAAAGCACCUAGUCUACAUCGUCUGGUUUUUCCUACAAGUUAGGAUACCAGUAAGGCAAGACAUCUAUCACAAUUACAACUGAAUCAAAAGAUUGAUUCACACUAUCCUACAGAAUCACACUACUUAAUACAAUAUUCUUGCAUAUCAAGAUAAUAUCUAUACAAAGCUACAAGAUAUACUUUCCUACACUCACCCUCAAGUUGGAGAGUGUAUAUCAAUAACUCCCAACUUGCACAUGAGCUGUCUAAACUUUUCUUUGCCCAAAGCUUUUGUAAAAACAUCUGCCAAAUGUUGUGAAGAAAUCACAAAACGAGUAAGAACUUCACCUUUAACAAUUUUGUCCCGAAUAAAAUGACAAUUCAUUUCAAUAUGUCGAGUUCUCUCAUGAAACACAAGAUUUUUAGCAAUGUGCAAAGCAGCUUGAUUAUCACAAUGUAAAACAGCAGGACUUGUAAUAGGCAUAUGCAAAUCUGCAAAUAAAUAACGUAGCCAAGUAAGCUCACAGCAAGUACCUGCCAUUGCUCUGUACUCAGCUUCUGCACUUGAUAAAGAUAUGGUCUUUUGCCUCUUGGUCCUCCAUGAAAUUAAAAAAUUUCCCAGAAAUACACAAUAGCCCGUAGUAAAGCGGCGGCUAAUAGGACAACCCGCCCAAUCAGAAUCGCAGAAAGCCUUCAGAUUUAAAGAGUUGUUGGCAUGGAGAAGUAAACCUUGACCAGGAGAAGACUUCGGGUAACGAACAACUCGAAGAGCAACAGUCAUAUGUUGUAAACAAGGUUCAUGCAUAAACCGGCUAAGAAUAUGUACCGAGUAUGUGAUGUCGGGUCUAGUAAUGGUCAAAUAAAUCAGUCGACCAACCAGGCGCCGAUAUGCAGCAGGGUCUUUGAGUAAUUCUCCUUUAUUUGAAAGCUUGGAUUCUUCCAUGGGAAACUCAACCGGCUUAGCACCCAAGUAGCCACUAUCUUUGAUAAUUUCCAAGGUAUAUUUACGUUGGGAUAUGUAAAUCCCUUUCUUGGAACAAGCUACUUCAAUGCCAAGGAAAAAUUUCAGAUCACCAAGAUCCUUGAUGCGAAAACGAGUAUGGAAGAAUUGCUUCAGAGCAUUAAUAGACUCCAUAUUGUUUCCUGUUAUCAGAAUGUCAUCCACAUAGAUUAACAAAACAGUGAGAGAUGUACCAUGCUUGUAGACAAACAAAGAAUAGUCAGCCUUGGACUGAGAGAAACCAGCAGCAAGAAUAACCUCCGUGAACUUGGAAAACCAUUGAUGAGAGGCCUGUUUCAGUCCGUACAACGACUUGUGAAGGCGACACACUAGAUUCUCCCCCUGUCGCCGAAGACCAGGAGGAGGGGACAUGUAAAUUUCCUCCAGUAAAUCACCAUUCAAGAAAGCAUUAUUAACAUCUAAUUGACGUAAAGACCAGUUCAGACUAGCAACAACAGUAAGAAGACAUCGGACAAUGAUCAUUUUUGCAGUAGGGGAAAAAGUAUCGUGAUAAUCUAUACCUGUAGUUUGAGUGAAGCCCUGAGCAACAAGCCUGGCCUUAUAGCGCUCCACUGAACCAUCAGCCUUACGCUUGAUUCGAUACACCCAUUUACAACUAAUAGGCCGCUUUCCAGGAGGUAAAGGAACCAAACUCCAUGUCUGAUUAUCAACAAGAGCUUGAAGCUCAGAAUCCAUAUAUAGCCUCUUGCCAUUUCGGAUCAGCUGCAACAAUUUCAUAAGAGGUCGAUUCCUCAUUCCGACUAACAGUAGCAAUAUAACGAAGAUAUGCAGGAGAUUACCGAUUGUAGGAUAUGUAAAUCAUAUCAAGAUAAUAUCUAUACAAAGCUACAAGAUAUACUUUCCAACAACAAUAUGAUGUAAUCUGUACUUGCUAUACAAAAAUGAGAUUCAAAUGGCUUCUUUUAUCCGUCUAUUCUUAGAACAAAUAAAGAAUAAACUUAGGUCUUUCAGUUUGUUAGACACAUACAUUACAUUUGAGUCCAAAUUGAUGAGAUUUAGAGUGAACCUAGAUGUAAAUAAUUGAAGCACCGUCAUGGCGUCAUUACACACUAGAAAGUUGCCCGCGCGUUGCAGCGGGUUGUAUAAGCUUGGUGUUAUAAUGUUAAUAACAUAUAUAAGGCUAGUGGAGACCGAUUUCAGCUGAUGACUUGAAUUUUGAUAUAAUUAAGACAGCUUUAUUAAGAAAUUGAUAUAAGGCCUGUUCUAAAAAUAUGAAUAUCAAAAUAGUUUGUGCAGACAUCAAAAUAAGCUAAGUCAGAUGUGGUGCCAAUCUUGAUAAAGAAAUUUGGAAGAAACUGGAUAUAGUUCAGAUAUGUAAGGAAGAUUCAGGAGGAAGACUGAAGAGGAUUGAGAGAAAGAGGCACAUAACAACAGCGGGGCAGAACUGCAAUAGAGAGAGAGGGGAAAAGGAAAAGUUGUCGAGAUCGAUCUCGAUUCUUCUGGAGCUGUGCCGAGCGAGAGAGAAAGGGCAAAACAAAAAGGAGAGAGAGAACACCAGAGAAACAUAAGAAGAAAAGAGAUGGCUCUAGAACGUUCAGGAGACGGCGAGAGAAAGAGCGAGAAAUACAGGUCCCCCAACACUGUAGUUUGUGAACAGUAAUUCGGGCGACGAAAAAUAGAUAUAUAGUAAAUUACACGAUUAAUGUUCUUUAAAAAUAACAAAUGUAAAACGUUAAUAGAAGAGUUCUCACAUGGAUAUUUGUAGUUCUAGUGAUUACGAGUAUUUACUAUAGAUUUUAGGAUCCUAGUUCAAAUUCUACGUUCUAGAAUAUCAAACUUAAUGAUGCUUACUAUUAAGAAUCCCUCAUUGGCAUGAGGAAAUGAAAGAUUGAAGGGAGUCCAACAAGACUCGUCCAACACUUCUUUGAAGCCGUUUCCAGAGUCUUUUAUUGGUGAUGCAGCCACCACAGAGGCUGUGUAAAUGAGUCGUUUUACGGUGCCUGAUUUGAUGCAAGACUCCACAAUGCUCAUUAGGCCAGAAACUGCUGCUUCAGAAGUGUCCUUGAACUAAUUCAAAAGUAAACAAAAGGGGAUUAGGGUACUCACUGAUUGAGUUCACAUAAAAUCAGACAUGCUUUUGGAGUUGCUCUAGGGUUGAGACUUGAGAGUGAACUCCUAUUGAAUGAAACUCUAUCACAUCAUCACAUCAUUUAGAAGCAAAUGAAACACUCUUAUAGAAUUUCUAAUCGAAACUCAAUGAACCAAAUUAACGUGUAGCAGUACCAUUCAUUUACACACUUCUCAAACUUAAAUCAAACCUGAGUAUUUUUGGGAUCAUGCUGCAAAAGGUAGCCAGGUGAAAAACAUACUUGCACCCUUGGAUUAGUGGCUCAAACUAAUUGGACUAUAUAUGUCGGAUCCGGCUCCUCUAAAGUGAAGAGUCCGUGAAGUUAGUCUAAGUUCAUAAAAUUCACUCUUUAUCUAAUCUAAGGGUUCUGAGCAGGACACGACACUCUUGGAUUAAUUUAAGUUAACCCAUGGUUAACUUUGGUAAACUGCCGUCAACUACGUAACAAAAAAAGAAAAAGAAAGAGGUUUUACGUCUUCUGCUAUAACACGUCCAACUGCUAUCUUCCUCUCUUGCUUCUAAGUCGAUCGACUUGCUGCGCUAUACAUAUGCUCUGUUGCGAAUCACUAUGACAAACUUGGACUAUUGCGAAUCACUACAUUUGAUAUCUGGAUACAUACUUUCAGAACAUAUGCUCUAUUCCCAGGCAUUACUCUUCACCAAGGACUAAGGAUGAUAUCGUUUAGUAAUUGAAACCUAUUUGGCCGAUUUUGGAAUAGAGUUACUGUGGGAUUUGGAUCAGUUGCAUUUCCUACUGCGUGCUAUGAAAGAGGACCGUUUGAUGUUUCUAAACUUUGAAAUCAGCUGUUUGAUAUUUUUGCAUUUGGGACGCACAUAACGUGUUUGAUGAAAUGACAAGCUCAAUUUUUGAAUAUUGACUUCAGAUUUUGUUCAAGUUAACAUGGAGUAUGAUUUUGGUAUUAAUUGACAAAGGCCAUAAAGCUAAUUUUCAUCUGUACUAAUUUCAUUUUUCAUCUGUAGUUUGAGCACUUCUUAGAUGUAUUGUUCUUAUUUUGUGUUUUCAAAACUGGAAAACACACAUCUAAGCAGGCAAAUACUUGUUUGUUUCAUCUCACUUUUUGCAAAAGCAAGACCUACUUUAUCAACUAAGUUGUUAUAUAAAAGUUAAUGCAAUGCAUAGUCGACAAAGCUGGAAAAUAUUGCUCGUAAAGAACUGUGAAAACUGAUUCUCUAAUUGUAGAUAUGGACAUGAGCAAAAAUUGACAUGGACAUGAGCAUCUGUAAUUGUCAAAACUGAUUAUCAAACAUUUUUUCAAAUUUAAAUAAUCCAUACAAACAUGAGUACAUUACUUUCCUCUAGAUCCAUGAGACUUUUAAUAGCAACUAAAAACAAUAACAGAGGUACAACCAUCAUCAUCUAAUUUCCAGCACAUAUAUAGAAGUUUGCUAUGUUUGGUAACCAACUAAACAAGUGGACAAUUGUUUCUUCCUCUUGCUUGAUGGUGGAGCUCCUUGAUCCUCUAUGACAAGAAUGAAAAUCGAAAAAUUACGUUCAGUUGCGUAGAUCAUAAACAUAUAUAGGACAUGUACAUACAUCAAUAAUGAAAUCUUUAUUACCUAAGACUCUUGAGGUAGUGAUUGGUUUUCAGGAGAGGAUUUCUUAUUUCUCUUUCUUGAAGGUCCAGCUUCUUGAUUCUAUAUAUAUGACAAAAGGCAAAUGUUUGAUCUUAGAAUCAGUUUUAUUCUAAUCACAUGUGCAUGGUAAAAAUAUAUAUCACCUCAGAUGGUUGAGGUAGUGAUUGAUCUUUAUUAGACGAUCUGGUGUUUCUCUUUCUUGAUGGUUGAGCUUGAACCUGUUUGACAAGAGCGAAAAAUAUAAAAAAUAAAGAAAAUAAACCCUCAAGUGCAUAAUGUACAAAAUCCUUUUAUCACCUGUGAUUGUUGAGACAAAUAAGAACUAUAAGAUACUAUACUGAAAUUCACAAAUAUAGAACAAGAGAGUUUAACCUAAUUAUUCCUUAUUAGCAGAACUAUAUGACUUCAGUUUAAUAAUUCAGUUAACGGAAAAUCAAAACUCAUCACAAAUCAAAUAAAGUAUCAAGAGGUCGUUGUAAAGGAGGAACCUGUUUGUAUUUGUGCCUUCUUGUAACCAUGGGCGAGUUUCCAUUGUUGCGCAGAACAAUAAAAGAGCAGUUGGACAUGUUAUAGCAGAAGACGUAAAACCAUUUUUUUUUGUUACGUAGUUGACGGCAGUUUACAAAAGUUAACCAUCAGUUAGCCGAAGUUAAUCCAAGAGUGACGUGUCCUGCUCAGAACCCUUAGGUUAGAUAAAGAGUGUGGAUUUUAUGAACUUAGACUAACUUCACGGACUCCUAUUUUAGAAGAGCCGGAUCCAUAUAUGUCAGCUUCAAACAAUCUUAACCUGUUGUGUUCGCCAUUAGGAACAAGACCCUUAAGAAGUCCCACUUUAGAGGCAUCACCUGCACCAAAAAGAAACGUUAAAACCAAUAGCACAUAAUCAUGGAUCCGAUGAAAAACAGAGGAAGCUUGAGAAGGAGAGAAUAUAGAGACCCCUGUUUCUCACUGUUGCAUGAACAUUAUAUCCUUUCUCUAGGAGACUAGGAGACUCUUCACAAGCCAAGAACCAAGGUAGCUUGAGCUUCCUGUAACACAAACCCUGGUGCUUUCCAUUUUCCAGAGAUCUAACGGCAAAAUCAGUAUCCAUGAGGAGUCAUAGAUAAUUUUGCACUAGUGACAAUGGUACCGGACAUAAUUUGGGUCGAUGUCACGGGCGUAAUUUUGUCAAUGAAUGAAUAGUUCAUGUUGAUUACUUCAACUGUUCAGUAUUGCAAGACUUGGCAUCAAUUAUUGACCGAUUGAUUUACGUUUAAGACAAUAAUUUGAAGUUGGAAUGCGGACAGUGGACUCAAAUUGAAAUUUCAUAUGCAUUUUCUAACAAUCUGAAGGAGUUCUUAGAGGCAGUGGCAAAUCUGGGAUUUAGAGCUGGGAUGAGCUUACAUUUUUGUUGUUAUAUACAUUUUAUUAAGAUGCGAAAGCUAAAAAUCCAUCCAAAACUACCGUUUAUGAUUAUAUAUAUUUUAAAAAAAAUCAUUUAUAUUAAAUAAAAUAAGUUUAGAAAAGAAUUCAAUCGAACCAAAAUAGACCUAGCAUCAUACAAAAGAAGUCUCAUGCCCUAAAAAUUAUAUGACCCUAAAAACCAUAAAGAUAUAUUUGAUCAGAGAAGACGAAAUAGAUCCAACACCACACAGUGAGACAAUCAAAAAAGUAAAACUUAAUUGAACCACACAGUGAGACAAUCAUGGAAGUAAAAGAAAAAGAGGAAUGUUGUGGCUGUGAAUCGAACUUGGGCGAGCUGACAAAUAUUAAGAACACUAAGCCAAGCCUGCAAAGCAUAUUCAAAAACGCAUAGUUCAUGUAUUCUGUUCCAUGUACAUCCGCGCCUGCUUCGAGGGCACCCCAAUUUCUUGCACGCUGCCCUGAUGCAGUCAUCUAUUUCUAAUUCAUCUCUUGCAUAAAUGCAUGCAUGGUUUUUGUUUUGAGCAAAUUCUAAAAUGACUCGAAAGUUGACACACCCCUCCAUGGUUUUGAUGUCCAGAAGUUCCUAGCAGAACUCGAAAGUUGUUCCUAGAGGGUACCCCAUUUUCUUGCACAAGUUAUGCAAUCAUCCAAAAUCAUAUUGGUAUCAUAUUUAUACACAAAACCCUCCUCAGUAAGCUUGGUACCACCCCAGCCAAUUUGCCUAUUUGGUAAAUCCAAACACCUGAAACCCAAUUCCAGAAAGUCCAAUUAAUCUAGAAACUUAGUUCGGGCUUUUAUCUUCGCAGAAAAAAGAAGAAGAAAGUUUAGCUACUUACUCUUGCUUCACUUCAAGUUCUGGAUAAUGUUGCCGAUAGUAGCUAGCAAUGUGUGCAGAUGAAACAUAGGAUCUUGCGCACAGGAAUCUACCAUUUAUUGAAGGACUCUCCAUGCAGAAGAUAUGGGCAUCACAAACAUCAUCAAUAUGGACUAUUGGAAUUUUCCCUACCAAUUCCUCUAAGAAUGUCAUACAACUAUACUCCAUUGCACCACUCUUAAAAUAAGAAACUAACCAAGUUACAGUUUCAGGUGUGAAUUGUAGAAGUGAAUUCCCUCCCACAAGACCACAGGUCAAGCUCACAAUCUCAAGUCCACUUCUUUUGUUGUGAUUCCCAUAACUCAAGAUCUCUUUCUCUGCCAGUGUCUUUGAAUCUGUAUAGUCCUGCAAUUUAACGAUUUAGUACCCACAAAUUUUCAAUAAAGACACCCUAGUUUUCACUUUGGACUAGCUUAUCUGAAAUGUACAAGUCAGAAACAAGGCUAUAUGGAAUGUUCCCCUAACUUUGAUUCAUCUAAGAAACUUGGGUACCUUGAGCAAGUGAUUAGAACAAAAAACUGGGAGAUUAUCAAGAGGAGUCCAACAUGUUUCAUCCAUGAUGUCUUUGAAACCACUAGUAUCUUCUUUAAGUGGAGAUGCAGCAACCACGGAACUGGUGUAGAUAAGCCUCCUAACUGCUCCUGAUUUAAGACAAGCCUCUGCAAUGCUCUUUGCCCCAGCUAUAGUUGCUUCAAUUUUGUUCUUGUACUGUUUUAUUCAUACAGAUCUAUAAAUGUAGAGUAUUAUCAAGGAAAAUAGUUAACUGGGUCUCUAGUCAGACUGUAAUGGCAUGCACGAUACGUUGUCGGACAAUUUGACUAAUUAUGUUUGUUAGAUAAACCUCUCAUCUCACUUGUUAUGCUAUUGUGAGAUUAUUACAUGGGUCAUGCAUGUUAUCUUGUAAGAUGACAAUUGCACAUUUGUACUAACUUGUUUAUUAACAGCCAGGCGACAUAACAUGUGGAUAUACCUAGAAACUAGACGGUCGAGACGUGAAUAUAAGAUCAAAAAAGUGUAAAACAGUACUCAACUAGUCAUGAACUUUGUGGUCCUUGAUCAUUAGAAGGGCUCCCUAACAUGAUGGAUAUAUUUGGAAAAUCAGAUUGCAGUGAAGUAAAAGUGAGUACCCUUUGGAAGUCCAUUUACCUGGGAAUUUGGGGUGUGGUUGAAGGGAGUAGCUACAUGGAAAACAAACUCACAUCCUUCAAUUGCCUGCUCAAAUGUAACUGGAUUGUAGAUGUCAGCUUCAAACAGUAUCAGCCUUUUAUCAGAAUAUGGAAGGUUCCUCAGAAGGCUCACCUUCGAAACAUCAUCUGUAAUAAAGUAACCCAGACCGGUAUUAUAAUUACAGAAAAAUUUACUAACACAAACACAGAUCGAGAAGAAAUAUGAGUUCACCCAAAUUUCUGAGUGUUGCAUGGACAGUGUAUCCCUUCUCUAAAAGCUUCUUGACAAGCAAAGAGCCUAUGAAUCCUGCACCUCCUGUAACACAAACCUUGGAGCCAUUACUCUUCUCCAUCGAAACUCUCUGAGAUCUUAAGUUUCCGCAGUCCCUUAUCAUAUAUCUCAUCUGCAUUGAAACUACUCCCCCUUUAGUCCAUACUUUUAUAUUAGAGUAGAAGACCCCUUAGUCUAUAUCCUACUGCAGAUCGAGGUGAUUUUACAAUAAACAAAAAAAAAAACAAAAAAGAAGUCAAACACCAUGAUCACAGAUCGAUCUAGAGCAAUAUCACAAUCGCAUAGUUUGACUGAAUAUUAAGAUGCAUGCAAACCGACACGUACGUACCUAGUUGGAAACUUGGAAUGCUUUCCAUUAAUUUCCCUGAAUUUUGGAUAUUGCAAACCUCUAGACUGUGGUCCUUAGUUGACUACUACUUAACAGCCGCCUCUCUUUUUGACAGCCGCCUCUGAUCUUGCAGAAACGUUAACACAGUAUCAAGUUGGUGCCGAAAAUAUUAUUCGACCAGUAUAGACGCACCGGUUACUGAUAUCUACGUCUACUUCUUGAUAGUAGUGAUCUUAAUGAAGAAAAAGAAUGCAGCCGGAUAAAUGAAGGGAACUUCCGCUAUAAGGAUUAAGCGAGGAUUUUUGAAUGAAUAGUUAGAUUGACAUGCAUGUUGGAAUUUAAAAGUAGAAUUGAAAUUUGUUUAGUCCUUAUGGUUUGAAGUCGGCAUCUGUUUUAGUCCUUCUGGUUUUAUUUUAAUCUGAAUAGUCCUUAAAGUCACGAUUUUUUAUCCAAAUAGUCAUUUCGUCAAUUUUCUCAGUUAAAUUGCUGACGUGCCUUUAACUGAGAAAAUUAUCGAAAAGACUAUUUGGAUGAAAAAUCGUGACUUUAAGAACUAUUCAAAUUAAAAUAAAACCAUAAAGACUAAACAAAUAUCGACUUCAAACCACAACGACUAUAUAGUAUUUUUUUCCCUUAAAAGUAUGAAUUAAAGUUUAAAACACUUAUCUAAUUAUUUAUAAGUCCUCACUUGAUUCUUAUUAUACGGUCUUCAUUAAAACCUCUCAUUAUGCAUUAAACUGAUCACUCAGUAAAAUGGAUCUUGUUUCCAACCCUUUCCCCUACUUGUUUAUACUCCAUAGGGAUGAGGCUGAGUAUCUAAACAUACAAUAUUUUGGGUACAUAAACAUUAUUUAUCAAGAUCACACAAUUUUCAUAAAUACUUUCUAGGCUCAUAGACCAAUCUAUGUGGGAGAUUGGGUAGAGAAUUUAAUUGCGAGUGCUAGAGUCAAUUGUUAAAUUUCCACAAUACAUUUUUGAGAUAUUUACAUGCAUUUAUGUAUCAUGUAUGUGUGUGUCCUACUUGUUCAUAGGGAUACCGAUAAGGUCAAAGGAAACUUGGAGCUAGGACUUUGUGGAAAGUAUUGAUACAAAGUUCUUCAAGAGCUUGCGCAAUCUUGACCCUCGUGAAUGUUGUAGAUAAGAGAUCCCACAUUAGAAAAGUGACAAAUAAAAUAUAACUUAUAUGUGGGUAGAUCAUACCCAAUUGUAGGCCUUUUGUGAUUGAAACUCAACAUUUUAAAGGUGGUUAAGUUGAGACAGUAUCGAUACGAGGAUGAUCCACGGGUCACAUUUGUUGCUGUUUGACAUGGUAUCAGAGCGGGUCCCUCUUUAGUUAUGUCCCAAUCUAGGAUGGGCCAAGUUUGGGUGCCAGACUGGCCAAGCUUUGGUGCCAUGCGUUGCCUUGCCAUCGGAAGAUGUUUGAUUGGAUUGUCACCAAGUUGUCCGAUGUGGGCCAGGUUGGUCGGGUCAAUUGGUUUAGACAAACACGUGUAGAUUGUUAUGUUGCACUUGAGGGUUCGUGUUCGAGAGGAGAAGGUGACACAGAUUCACGACAGAUCUUGAGUUAGGUUGCACGUGAGAGGGCGUGUUGGAGAUGAGACAUCAUAUCAGAAAAGUGACAAAUAAAAUAUAACUUAUAUGUGGGUGGAUCAUAUACAAUUGUACCAAAGUCUUUUGUGAAUGAAACCCAACACCUUAAAGGCGGUUAAGUUGGAACAAUAUAGGUACGAGGAUGAUCCACGGGCCACGUUUGUCGCUGUUUGACAGUAAAAACUAUCAUGGAUUAUUAAAAUGAAGGUGCAACUAGAAAAGUAAAACGCAAAAAAGGCUCAAAGACUACAUCUUGUAAUUCUAAUAAUUGAAACAGUUACAUCUCAUUCUACAUAUAGGUAGGGGUUUAAUUUUCAAUUUCUUUUUGGACUGGUGAGAGAGGCUUGAUAAGUUGGAUUAUGGAUUGGUUGUGUGUUUUAAUUAGGGAUGACAAUAAUCCCCAGCGGGUAGGGUACCCACGGGUAUUCGACCCUAACGGAGGAGAUAUACGGGGAUAAACGGGUGACGGGUAUGUGGAUCCUUAGUAUUUGGAUUUUUGAAUCGGGUACAGGGCGGGUAUGGUAUUUUGAUAUUCGUCUCCAUCCUCACCCAUUUAUGAUGGAAAUAUUAUAUAUUAUAUACAAUGUAUUAUAUAUAUUUUUUAAUAUAUACAUUAUUUAUAAAUAGAUAUUUAUGUAAAAUCUUUUGUAAUAUUUUUUUAUUAUGAUUCUCUUAAUGAAUAUUUAUAGAAACUUCAUUUUUAACCGAGACUUGUACUCGUUUUUGUUGGAUUAAAUCAAUAAACUUAUUUAUAUAUGUAUUUGAUUUUAUUUUUAUACUUCUAUAUUUCGUAAUUAUUUUUAAAAAAUUAAUUAUUUCAUAAUUGUUAACGGGGAUCGGGGCGGGUAUGCGAACGUAAUCCCCAAAGGGGACGGGGACAGGGAAUCCCCAUUAUCCAAUUAUCAGGAAUGGGGUAAGUACGGGAUGAGAAAUGAAAAAGGGUACGGGUAUAGUAUUUUGAUCCCCUGACCCUACCCUACCCAUUGCCAUCCCUAGUUUUAAUGUGCUAGCUGUGUCUAUUUUGGGAGAUGCCUCCAUAUUUGUUGUUGAAUCUGCAUUGUUUCUUGCUUUGAAUGGUGAAGUGAAUUUGCUAUGUAUAUUGCUUGAAUGGUGAUCAUAUAUUGUCUCUACGUAUAUAUGUUGUUGUUGGGUUGUUGGAAAGUAAAUGAUAUUAUGAAGUGUUGAUGCCAUAAGUAUGCAGAAGAAUGAUUGAAAAAUGAGAAUAUGCAGCGUGCAAGAUAGAUAGCUUUUAAAUUUUCAGUUUACAAAGUUAGCUUAUCAACCAAAUUUACAGUUUAAGAAUUUUCAGCUUUCUUCAUCAUAUUGUGAUUUGUCUGCUGCUGCUAUUGUUCUCCACUAUGUUGCCUCAUUAUCUGCUGCAACCAAUAAAGACAAGAUAGCUCAAGGGGUGUUAGGUUACUGAAUUGGGAUGUUAUCAUUGUAAUUGUUUUCUUUCAUGAAAAUUGGUUAUGGUUGUGUAGUUUGUUCCAACCACUAUGCUUGUUAUCAAGCAUAUGGUUGAGGGCGGUUGUUAGGAUUAUAGGAGGUAAUAUAGAGUAGGGUAGAUUGGUCAUUUUGCUAUACUCCCUAGCUAUAUAAUCUCUUGUAACCUAAAUUUUGCAAUCAAUGAGAAUAGCCAUUAUGUAGUCUCAAAGUGUUCUUGCUCUCCUUUACAUUUUCUUUAUUUACAUUUCAAUAAAACCAUAAUUCUUAUUACUUGCACCACUGAGUACACUGAAAGACUUAGAGAUGUGCUUACAACUUAUAUAUGCUUUUCAUUCUUUUUCAGAAUUUUCAAGAUUAUAUGGAGCAAGUUGUUUCAAAGCAGCUGCCAUAUAUGGUAUCACUAAGGCAGGUUGAGCUCAUUCAUUACAAGCCUCAACAAAUCUAUGAAGCACACUAGUUGAGCAGAUAGAAAUUAAGUAGUGAUAAUGGUGAAGUUGGUACAUCCCGGUUCUUAAGUUAAUUUGCGAGUAUUUACUUUUGUGUUACUUUGGUCUUUUACCGUUUUGAGUAACCGUUUACUACUUAAGGACCCUAGAGUUGACUUUUUGUAGGAAAAUUAUUUCGGGAAAAUUUCUUAAAGGAUGUCGUAGAGGACGUUAAUACGAAUUCGUAGACAUGCUAUACGUUAAAAUUGAAGUUAGCAUGUAAAAGGUAACAAAUAAAAAGGGUAAAUUUGAGUUGGUUAAAAGAGGGUAAAUUUUCAUUGGGUUUUAUUUUAUGGGUAUUAAGGUUUGGACCGGAUAAGUUAAGCCCAAAACUCUCUCUUUCUUCUCUCUCCUCUCCCACGAGCUCUCCCCGACCUGUCGGACACUUCACCUCCGUCCGCCACUGUCCGGCCAUCUCAGACCGCCGCACCUGUCCCAAUCGGUCGGCCAUCGACCCAGUUCUCUUCCUAAACCUGUGGGAACCACCCUAGCUCCGCCGUGAGGGAGAAAGAUCGACCGAAAGGCGAUUGUGUAGCGGAGGAAUUUCUGUCGGAAUCUCCCUCCUCCGGCCAUUAUAGCUAGAGACUUUUGGCUCAUCUUGAAGGCCUUUCUUGGUGCAUCAAUCCUCUAGAAGGUAAUUAUCCAAUUCAAAGUGUGUAAGGAGGAUUUUCGGGUGGAAGUUCUAGGGUUUGAGAAUUGGGAUUUUUGGUUGUUUUGAUUCGAUUACCCUAGUUAGGCUUAAAAUUGGACUUUCUGCUAGUUACGGAAGUUGUUGUGCAUGUUGAGAGGAAUAUUGUGUUACAUUUUGGGAAGCAUUGGAGUUUGCCGGAGUUCGGCUGCCCGUCGCCAUUGCCUGCUGAGCAGGCGGCAGCAUUGCCGCUUAGGGGUAGUUUUUCAUGGUUUUGAGUUUGUUUUAAUGAGAAGAGUUUAAUGAUGUGAAGUUUGGAAUUUUUGGAAAAGUUGUGGUUAGGUUUGAGAUUUUUCAAAGAUUGAGAAUUUUGGCGGUUAUUAGAAUGAAAAUCCGACCAUUUGAUUUACUUGGAUAUGGUCCUAAAGUGCUAGAAUCGAUGAAGUGAGGUUGUGGUUGGAGUUUGGCAUGAAUCCGGUAAGCUUAACCCUAGCUAAGGUAAUAGGUUAGGCGGAAGAUUUUUGGGGUGUUAUAUUAAAGCAUUUACUUUUCCAAAAUAGGAGUGUGGUUCUAAUUAUGCUUAUGGUGUUAGGAUUCAUGGAGACCUCACACGUAUGGCGUUGCGGAUAUCGUCGGGCUUAUGCCUAAAUUUGUGAGUGGACACUUUGGUUUUUAAUAAAUAUGCAUGCAAGAUUUUAUAAUUUAUUACUUUAUUUUCCGAGCUUAUAUUAUAAUUUGGAAUAUAUUUGAGUUGGAUGCAUUGUUUAAUUGUUGGUUAUGAUUUAUGGAUUUGAGCUCGGAUGAUUAGUUUGGAAUUUGAGUUUGAAAAUUCCUUAUGAAUUCCGAAUUUCACUAUGAUUGGUUAAAUGGUGGACUUUGAGAUUCAUAAAAGAUUUUCGAAAAUGUGAUUUUCGGUAAUUCUCUUUUUAUAACUUUCUCGUUUAUUUGUGGAUUAUCGAUCUUGUCAUUAAGAAUAUUUUUAGCGAGAAUUUUUGGAUUGAGAAAUUAUUUACAAUUUAUACUUGUUAAUUAAAUCUUGCUUAUAAUUAUGGAUUUGAUAAUAUUUUGACGUGUGAGACACGUCAUCGAGUUUUAUUUUAAAAUUUUCUUAUGAUAAUUUCCAAGUACGGUUGGGAACCAUAUAUACCAUUCGUAUGAUCUUAGGGAAGGUUUAUGGAUUUAAGUGAUUUCGUAUAUUUUUAGUCAUCAUAUUAUAGGGUCGCAUUUAUUCAUUACUAGCUAACUUUAUUAGCGGUCCUCACCAUAGGUGAGUCAAGUGUUUAGCGUGGGACGCUAUUAUAGCCUGGGAGGCACCGAUCAGAUAUUAUUAUUUAUUGCUAGCUAGCCUUAUUAGCGGUCCUCACCAUAUGUGAGUCAAGCGCUUAGCGUGGGACACUACUAUAGCUUGGGAGGCACCGACCUGAGCCUUGGAAGCUCAUCUUACAUGGUGAUAUCUCUUCCCCUCGUUUUAUUUUUCUCAGUUAUGUAAUUGAUUAACCAGCGGGGCUGGUUUGUCUCUAUUUUUAAGAUUUCUGUAUUUGAUUAACCAGUAGGGCUGGUUUGUCUAUUUUUAUGGAAUUCUGGAUUUAAAUUUAUUUGGAUUAUCAAAGUUGGGUGCAGUUAAGUUUUAAAAGUUGAAACGUGGGAAAGUAUAUAAAUUAUGUAUUUGUUAAAUUAUUUAAUUUAUUUUUGUCCACUCACUUUAACGUUUUUAAAUUACUUUCCCCUUGGCCCUUUGGUUUUAAAUGCCCAGUUUGCAAGCUAAGUUUAAUUGAGGUCGAGCGUAUAUGGAGUCAAGGCAUAGUCAGAGGCUGCUUCUGCUUAAUCUUUAUUCAUUGUUUUUAUUUCAUUAUAGAUAUGCUCUGAUAACCCAGUGAGUAAGUUAUUGAAUGUCUUUGUUGUUGGUUGGGGAAUUCUUUUAGAGAAGCAAUUGAUAUUUUAGGAGAUGUGAUGAACUUGGGGAGCUGGAUGGCUCCAGAAGUUGAGGAUGAAUGAUUUAUAAAAGAAGUGUUUAUUUGGAAUUUUUUUUUUCAGGUACAGGUCGUCCAUUUUCAAGGUAGAUUAUGCCGAAUUUUCGGUAAAUUUUCCUUGGAGGUGGACCCCGCAGGAUUUACUUCGGGUUUCAAGGUGAAAUUCGAGAUGGGUCCUGAUAGAAGUGACUGAUCGAAGUCCAAGAAGCUACAUCUGCAUUUGUUGCAACUCCUGAGCUUAUACCUCAGAAACCUAUUCUUAUGGACAGUAGAAAUGCCUUGAUGGAUACAGAGUGGAUUCUACGUAUCAAGGUGCCCUUCCACUAUUAAUGUGUAAGUCAUCAAAUCACCGAAUGCAAAUAUCAAAUGAAGACUAGUGACAAUAAAUUUCUUCAUUUCAUUUUCAUUUUUAAUCCGAUCAAAUUAUGCGUUCAUAAUAAAAGUACAUCUUAUUCUACCUCAGGUCCUCACCUCCUCUCUUGGAAACACUUAGGACUAUUUUUUUUAGUUUCAAUUUUGUUAACGGUAUUAGAAUACAUGCAUGAUAAUGCGACAUAGAUGACCGGAUCAAAAUAUUGUAUAUUAGUUACUCGAUUUACUUGCAUCUUGAUGCGUAGAAGAAUUUUCAUGAUAGAUACUCGUCUCCCUAGUAUACAGCUAUGUAGAUGAUCGGACUAAAGCUCAUGCGUAAUAUUUAGUUAUAUACCAAUUACCACCAUGGCUCCGGGAUCAUUUUUUUGCUGCCCAUAACAUGCUGCUAAUGAGUCAUGACCUGUAAGACAGUUUUUAUAAUAUGGACAAUUCAUUCAAAAUCCUUUUCAAUAGGGCUAUGGCACAACAGCUUGGUCUCUACGCAUUUCGGAAUGGACUAAUUACUCAAGGACGUAGCUACCUUCUGAGCUAUAUUCCGUAGGAAAAGUGAAAGAGUUACUUAGACAAGGGAAGGGGUCUCUCGAAGUAGAUGUCAUGAGAAAACUUCUGAACAGGAAUGUCUCGAGAGACCCUAUCAUAUCAUCAUAUGCACAACAACCUUGAACUCCUAGAGGUAGUGCAUUUGGUACGUGCCAUUGUAACAUCUCGAUUUUUUUAAAUUUCUUAAAAAUUAUUUUCUUCUUAGAAAUAGAAAUUAGAGGUCGCCACGAGUUCGUCGUAUUUUUUGAUAAAUUUUUCGGAUUCCCAAGUUAUUUUUAACGAUUUUUCAAAAUUUCGUCGAUAUACUCGGUUUGAUGACACACUACCAGGACAAGCACUUUAGCCGACGAAAAUUUUUCGUCGGCCUGUCAGCUUAAUUCGUCGGCUAAGAUCUUAGCCGACGACCUUUCGUCGGCUAAGAUUUCGUCGGGAAAAGCUCGUCUGUGGUGACUUUAGCCGACGACACACGUAUAAGUCGUCGGCUAUAGUCCAGACUUUAGCCGACGACAUUAUUUCGUCGGCUAUAGUCCAG